GGGCCUUUAGCUCAACGGUUAGAGCUGGCGGCUCAUACCCGCUUGGUUGCAGGUUCGAAUCCUGCAGGGCCUACCA
rnacentral:tRNA from 1 species